CACACACACACACACACAGCAGAAUCUUAACCGUAACUUAGCUGAAAUAAACACAAAUGAUGACAACAAAACUUUAGCAUGGCACAAAUAGCUGUUAUGUUCCUAAAAGAAUUCUGGCACUUUGAACCAUUCAUGCGAUAUUAAGAAUCCCUCUUUGGAAAAGUAUCAUAAAUUAGUUGGAAAAAACUGACUUUAUCACCUUGAAACAAGUAAUAGUAAUUGACAAUGCAACACAUCUUCGAAAUCUGGAAUAAAACAGAAAAAUUAAAUAAAUUAAAUUCAAGGUAUACAUCAGGAAGAAACAUGGCAUCUGAUGAAAAUUCUCUUCUCCUAGUGAAAAGAAGGUGGCUUAGUCUUGAAUUAAGAAAGUUCAAUUAAUAGGACUUUACAAUUAUUUGUAAUGCUAGCUUAUUUCUUGUUCACCAGUAUUCUAAGUUCCUAAAAAGUUUUAAAGGCUGAAGUUGAAUGAAAGAUUAGAAAUGAUUCCCAAGGAAACAAAAAGAACCAGGUGUUUAGUUAAUUUUUCUCAUCUAAUAAAGUCAAUAAGCUGGCCUAAUGGCAAAUAGGAAAAAAGAAAAUCAACUAAUUACCAUCAUGUGAUACAUUUUAACCUAUUGAUGACAAUCACUAAUUACCAACUAAUGAAUGUGUUCUAAUGCUGUUGUUUGAUUAAACCACAGGAGAGGUUGAUAUACGACAACAUCAUUGACGACUAGUUCUUUCUAGUUUCUACUACUAUGUCACUUAAGUCAAGCAUGGAGGAAGAACUAAAAUACAUACAUCUAGUCCUAAGGAUAUGGUACAUUUCCAGAUCUUAAACAUAUAACACAUGCAUAUUAUUAAGGAUGACUGUCUUUUCCAUACAAAGAAUGAAAAUGAUUAUGCUCUGUUUGAUCAACACUACUUGGUUCUUUUACUCUGACAAAAAAAAAAAAGAGAUGCUAGAGAUGGGAUUAACGGGGACCUCCUUUGAUGCAUUAGUCCCGCUAAGCAUGUAAUGAAUGAGUAGAAGGUUCAUGAUUAGUAUUAAUAAAAAGUAAAUACAGUACUUAGAAGGCCCUUUCUGUAUAUAUGAUCGAACAAGAAAUUCCAAUGAAGACUCUUAAUUUCUAUGUGGUUGGCUUAAAAUGAUUAGUGGAGUACCAUUAAUGGAUGAUCCUGCUAGUAAUGUCUGCUAGGUAGGUGGAGGGACGUCAAUAGGAAACAAUUACAUAAUUAAAAAUAUCAAAACUCUUAAAAUGAUGAAACAUCAGUUAAAUAAUAUUGAUCUUGAAUUAAGUUUUUAUACUUGAUGUGCACAACUAAACUACAAAAAAAAAUUACAUUUAUGAAACAUUAAAAUCGUUUACAAAUGUUGUGCUAAAUCAAGUUGCCAUGAGCCCUGCUGGCUAGCAGAAUUCACUCCCAACCCCUCCACAAAUUCCUUGCACCUCCUGUUGUUACUUUAAAUAAGAUUAUCAAAGAUAAUAAUAGUUCAAACAAUUCUAUCCCUUUUUGGGUUUACACAUCUCCUAACACUGAACCAUGUUAAAUUUCCCUAAGAUGUCUACUAAAAUGGCAACUAUCAGGUGAGUAAUGAUGUAGGACAAGUAACACAGAACUUCUUUUUGAUGAAAGAGAGAUAGAAAGAGAAAACAGAAAUAAUAAUUGAAAGAUAAUAGAAAAAACUUGGAUAAUUACCAGACUUGCUCUGGCUCAAGGUCUCAGGAUGAAGAUCUCACAUCUCCGCACGUCUCGCAUGUGGAUGAUGGAAUCAUUCCAUCGAAAAAGCAACUUGUGGUAUUGCACCACUCACACACAACGUGGGAAAAGAACUCAAUUCAUUGAUUCAUUUCUGAUUGAUGCAUUGCAAUUUUCUAGCCCCUUUUUACAGGCUGAAGUACAAAAAUAAAAAACAAAUAAAACAUUUUCAAUUGUAUUAAAUCAAAUAUGUGAUAUCCUUUUUUCUUUGACGAAGAUAAUAUUUUUUAUUUUAUUUGAGACAUAAUCUUCAUCUCAUGAUGAU
rnacentral:lncRNA from 1 species